GGGCCCGCACAAGCGGUGGAGUAUGUGGUUUAAUUCGAUGCAACGCGAAGAACCUUACCAGGGUUUGACAUCCUGCGAAUUUCUGGGAAACCGGAAAGUGCCUUCGGGAGCGCAGUGACAGGUGGUGCAUGGCUGUCGUCAGCUCGUGUCGUGAGAUGUUGGGUUAAGUCCCGCAACGAGCGCAACCCACGUCUUUAGUUGCCAGCAUUGAGUUGGGCACUCUAGAGAGACUGCCGGUGAUAAACCGGAGGAAGGUGUGGAUGACGUCAAGUCAUCAUGCCCCUUACAUCCUGGGCUACACACGUACUACAAUGCUACGGACAAAGGGCAGCAAACUCGCGAGAGCUAGCAAAUCCCAUAAACCGUGGCUCAGUUCAGAUCGUAGGCUGCAACUCGCCUACGUGAAGGAGGAAUCGCUAGUAAUCGCGUAAC
rnacentral:rRNA from 1 species